GUGUCAGCAGCCGCGGUAAUACGGAGGGUGCAAGCGUUGUUCGGAAUUAUUGGGCGUAAAGCGCGUGUAGGCGGUUUGUUAAGUCUGGUGUGAAAGCCCUGGGCUCAACCUGGGAAGUGCAUUGGAUACUGGCAAACUUGAGUACGGGAGAGGAUAGUGGAAUUUCGAGUGUAGGGGUGAAAUCCGUAGAUAUUCGAAGGAACACCGGUGGCGAAGGCGGCUAUCUGGACCGAUACUGACGCUGAGACGCGAAAGCGUGGGGAGCAAACAGGAUUAGAAACCCCAGUAGUCC
rnacentral:rRNA from 1 species